CACUCAAUUUGCUUUUAUGUGUGAUAUUUGGAUAAUUAUUUUUUCUGUACAAGCAUUGAAAACACAUCAAAUAAAAGUAGUAAGACAUCCAUAUUUCAAAAACCACCUUCCCUCCUACUGCUGACAUAGAACGGAACUUUCUCUUUCUCAGUUUCAUGCAUAUGGUAAUCAGUUUGCUUUCCUUUGAACCAGAUAAUUGUAAGAAUCACAGAAUAUCCAAAGCCUGUGCAUGUAUAUUUAUGUUCACUAACACAGUUACAUGAGAGAUCAGCAGAAAUACUACUGGUUCUGUUGGUUUAAAUUAAAUUCCUUAAUCAAUCCCCUGAGAAGUGUUAUCCAGGAGGUAACUGCCGAAUGUGCAUGAAUCUUUUAUGUGCUUCAUUCUAUAACAGUUUCUGGGAGGCCUGCAAAUGUGAAUUUUGCACAACAAAAAUGAAUUGCUGACAUUAGACAAGGCAUGUGGUGGUUUCCCGAUCUUGCAAAUCUAAUAACACAGGCUUGGCACAGCAGAACACAGAUACAAUUAAGUUUCCUCGCUUUAAGCCUGCCCCCACUCCUCUCCCUUAAGAGUAGUGGAAACUGCUGGCGCUUGGCUGUGACCACUGCGCAGACCUGGUUCCACUCGCUCGCGUGCCUCGCUCCGUUUCCUCCGCAACCAUGUCUGACAAACCCGAGAUGGCUGAGAUCGAGAAAUUCGAUAAGUCGAUAUUGAAGACAGAAAAGCAAGAGAAAAAUCCACUGCCUUCCAAGGAAACGAUCAAACAGGGGAAGCAAGCAGGCGAGUCGUAGUGAGGCGUGCCCCGCCGAUAUGCACUGUACAUUCCACCAGCAUUGCCUUCUUAUUUUACUUCUUUCAG